rnacentral:rRNA from 1 species
AUGAACGCUGGCGGCGUGCCUAAUACAUGCAAGUCGAGCGAACAGAUGAGGAGCUUGCUCCUCUGACGUUAGCGGCGGACGGGUGAGUAACACGUGGAUAACCUACCUAUAAGACUGGGAUAACUUCGGGAAACCGGAGCUAAUACCGGAUAAUAUAUUGAACCGCAUGGUUCAAUAGUGAAAGACGGUUUUGCUGUCACUUAUAGAUGGAUCCGCGCCGCAUUAGCUAGUUGGUAAGGUAACGGCUUACCAAGGCAACGAUGCGUAGCCGACCUGAGAGGGUGAUCGGCCACACUGGAACUGAGACACGGUCCAGACUCCUACAGGAGGCAGCAGUAGGGAAUCUUCCGCAAUGGGCGAAAGCCUGACGGAGCAACGCCGCGUGAGUGAUGAAGGUCUUCGGAUCGUAAAACUCUGUUAUUAGGGAAGAACAAAUGUGUAAGUAACUAUGCACGUCUUGACGGUACCUAAUCAGAAAGCCACGGCUAACUACGUG